rnacentral:tRNA from 1 species
GCCGAGGUCGCAUAAUCUGGUAGUGCGCUAGCCUGCUAAGCUAGUUCCCGCAAGGGUAUCUGGGUUCAAAAGUCAUCUUUUACAACGCACAAAGUGAUAACAAUCACUUUGGCGCACAAAUGAAGCCGGAUGCUUUAUUUUGUGAGCUGCACCAAAUGUAGUGUAAAGAAAGGUGGCCUGAAAGUCCCAGCCUCGGCG